rfam:Actinobacteria bacterium OV450 ctg41, whole genome shotgun sequence.
CGCCAAGUCCGAGGCUCCGGUGUUCACCGGAGCCUGGUGCGAAAGGGA